UAAGGGGGUGUGGGGGACCAAUCCAAACAUGACCCUGUGUUAAAAAAGCAAUUUCCCCUCAUGAAUUAACUGUGAUUAACCACAUUUCUUUGGACAGCUGAGUUGGGAGUACUGCCAGAUAUGUUGACUCAACAAAUCACUUACAUAGAGCCUGACUGACAAAUGAAGCAAAUGAAAAGAUCUCAAAAAGCAAGGCAUCACACCACAAUCUGAAGAAACAGCAGAGAAAUAAAGUCAUUGGCUGACAAUGCAAUAAUUACAUUACAAGACAGAUGGUGUGUGCUACAGUAACCUUUUGCUGUGCCACCUUCCUUAAGGUUCCUUCUUCAUAACAACAUUAGAGGAAGUUUUUUUUUAUAAUAAGUCAUCCGUCUGGACUCUGGAGUUAGGGAUUAGACCUCAAUGACUGACAGGUGUCCAGACACAUAGACAGCUGUAGCAGGCGGGUGGAUGUUAGGCCUCACCUUUGCUAAUUAGAGCCACGGAACUGUCCAUCAUGUCUGUGCUGUUGGUCCUUUUUAAUGAAACUAUCUGACAAAUAACAUGGCUUUCUGUACAGUUCAGUACAGGCUACCUAAUAAGUUUGUACUUGAGCUUUGGUGGAGAGGUGUGCAUACCUGUGUCUCCGCCUAUGGGCAGGGCUGCCCUUUGCACUCAUCCACCUGCAGCACAUAACCUCAUUAAGACGGAGUAUUUAACAACCAACUGUGGCUGUUACUCUUUGCUUCCAUUACAGUUCAAAAUUGGUUCAACGAGUUUAGUUCUUGUUUUUGUGCUUUUUGCUCAGUAAUCCUCUUUCUUUGUCUGUUUUCUAGUUCCCUGUUUGGUGUCAGUUCCCUGGAGAUCUCACUUGUGUUCCUUUGUGGAGUCAGGAGAUCACAUUCAGUCACUGUGGAAACAAGGACAUACCUGUUAAUGACCUGCCUGCCCAAUCUCGCUGAACUUCUUUCAUCUUCUCUAGAUCCCAGCCACCGGUUACCUUUUCUUAGCUUCAGAUUACAGUGCUAACAAGUAAGGCCUCUGAGCUUCUUAACUCCUUUUUCAGCUGGAGUUGCUAAUGUGUCCCCCUCACCAAUAACCGGUCUCCCUCUGCAGACCCGUCUUCCUCCUGUCUGAAAUAGUUCCUGCCCAGUUGCUCACCUGUGUGUCAUUCAUUCCAUUCGUUUGGUAGAUAAGUGUUUUAAAGUUUUAUUGGCUGAAUCUGCUCCUUAAAUUGCAGCAGCAUCAUGACAAAAGCAUCCUUGAAUGUUGCUUGACUGAUGAAAGCCAGAAGUAAUUUGUAUAGGCUCACUGCAUUUAUCAUGUUGGCUGUUCCUAAACACAGGCAUGCCUUGGUGCCUGCUGUUUCUCAACCCCCAGCAGCAUCCACCUUUAGGCUACAGGUGAAUAUUUAUUCGGUGACAUCCAGUUUCUAUAUGUAAUAUCUUUGAAACAUUCAGCAAGAUAUAGUUCAUUACUGUGCAUAAAUAAAUAAAAAUUGUUUUAAAAAAAUAAACUCAUCGGAUUAGGAAUAAAAAUUGACUAAUCAGCCUCAAUCUUAUCCUAAAGACCUCAUAGUUCCAUAUCACCCCAAUAGAGCACUUUGCUGUCAGUGGAACUAGCUCCCAGUUUGGA